AAAGCAGGUCAUAGUGAUCCGGUGGUUCUGAAUGGAAGGGCCAUCGCUCAACGGAUAAAAGGUACUCCGGGGAUAACAGGCUGAUACCGCCCAAGAGUUCAUAUCGACGGCGGUGUUUGGCACCUCGAUGUCGGCUCAUCACAUCCUGGGGCUGAAGUAGGUCCCAAGGGUAUGGCUGUUCGCCAUUUAAAGUGGUACGCGAGCUGGGUUUAGAACGUCGUGAGACAGUUCGGUCCCUAUCUGCCGUGGGCGCUGGAGAACUGAGGGGGGCUGCUCCUAGUACGAGAGGACCGGAGUGGACGCAUCACUGGUGUUCGGGUUGUCAUGCCAAUGGCACUGCCCGGUAGCUAAAUGCGGAAGAGAUAAGUGCUGAAAGCAUCUAAGCACGAAACUUGCCCC
rnacentral:rRNA from 1 species